GAUGAACGCUGGCGGCGUGCCUAAUACAUGCAAGUCGAGCGAACGGACGAGCAGCUUGCUCCUCUGACGUUAGCGGCGGACGGGUGAGUAACACGUGGAUAACCUACCUAUAAGACUGGGAUAACUUCGGGAAACCGGAGCUAAUACCGGAUAAUAUUUUGAACCGCAUGGUUCAAUAGUGAAAGACGGUUUUGCUGUCACUUAUAGAUGGAUCCGCGCUGCAUUAGCUAGUUGGUAAGGUAACGGCUUACCAAGGCAACGAUGCAUAGCCGACCUGAGAGGGUGAUCGGCCACACUGGAACUGAGACACGGUCCAGACUCCUACGGGAGGCAGCAGUAGGGAAUCUUCCGCAAUGGGCGAAAGCCUGACGGAGCAACGCCGCGUGAGUGAUGAAGGUCUUCGGAUCGUAAAACUCUGUUAUUAGGGAAGAACAUAUGUGUAAGUAACUAUGCACAUCUUGACGGUACCUAAUCAGAAAGCCACGGCUAACUACGUG
rnacentral:rRNA from 1 species